rnacentral:tRNA from 1 species
GGGCGUUUAGCUCAGCUGGUUCAGAGCAUCUGCCUUACAAGCAGAGGAAAAGCGGUUCGUCUCCGUCGACGUCCA